rnacentral:rRNA from 1 species
UACGUAGGGGGCAAGCGUUGUCCGGAAUUAUUGGGCGUAAAGCGCGUGUAGGCGGCCAGAUAAGUCCGCUGUGAAAUCUCGAGGCUCAACUUCGAGCUGUCGGUGGAAACUGUCUGGCUAGAGUCCGGAAGAGGAGAAUGGAAUUCCUGGUGUAGCGGUGAAAUGCGCAGAUAUCAGGAAGAACACCCGUGGCGAAGGCGGUUCUCUGGGCAGUAACUGACGCUGAGGAGCGAAAGCGUGGGGAGCGAACAGG